GACGAACGCUGGCGGCGUGCUUAAUACAUGCAAGUCGAACGGACAGGCCCUGCUCUUGUGGGGCGCUCGAGUGGCGCACGGGUGAGUAAAACGCGUGUAACCUGCCCUUGACUUUGGGAUAACUUCUGGAAACUGGGGCUAAUACCGGAUAGGAGCUCCUGCUGCACGGUGGGGGUUGGAAAGAUUCGGCGGUUGGGGAUGGACUGGCGGGUUCCCCGCUUGUUGGUGGAGUAGGGGCUUACAAAGGUUGUGAAGGGUAGCCGGCCUGGGAGGUGGACCGGGCACCAGAGUACUGAGAGACGGAGCAGACGCCUACGGGAGGCAGCGGGCGGAAAUAUGGCGGAAUGGGCGGAAGCCUGAGACAGCAACCUCGCGUGCGUAAUGACGGCCUACGGGGGAAAAACCGCUUUCGCCGGUGACGAAGCGGGAGUGACGGUAAUGGGUAAGAAAGCACCGGCUAACUACGUG
rnacentral:rRNA from 1 species